rnacentral:rRNA from 1 species
UACGUAGGGGGCAAGCGUUAUCCGGAUUUACUGGGUGUAAAGGGAGCGUAGACGGAAUUGCAAGUCUGAUGUGAAAAUCCGGGGCCCAACCCCGGAACUGCAUUGGAAACUGUAUUUCUAGAGUGUCGGAGAGGCAAGUGGAAUUCCUGGUGUAGCGGUGAAAUGCGUAGAUAUCAGGAGGAAUACCGUUAGCGAAGGCGGCAAUCUGGCUGGAAACUGACGCUGAGGUGCGAAAGCGUGGGUAGCAAACAGG